rnacentral:rRNA from 1 species
AGCAGCCGCGGUAAUUCCAGCUCCAAUAGCGUAUAUUAAAGUUGUUGCAGUUAAAAAGCUCGUAGUUGAAUUUCGGGGUCAGUAGGUCGGUCGUGCCACUGGUAUGAACUGGUCUCACUGAUUCCUCCCUCUUGUAGAACCGUGAUGCCAUUAAUUUGGUGUUGCGGGGAAUCAGGACUGUUACUUUGAAAAAAUUAGAGUGUUUAAAGCAGGCAAGCGCUUGAAUACAUUGGCAUGGAAUAAUGAAAUAGGACGUUUGAUCCUAUCUUGUUGGUUUCUAGGAUUGACGUAAUGAUUAAUAGGGAUAGUUGGGGGCAUUAGUAUUCAAUUGUCAGAGGUGAAAUUCUUGGAUUUAUUGAAGACUAACUACUGCGAAAGCAUUUGCCAAGGAUGUUUUCAUUAAUCAAGAACGAAAGUUAGGGGAUCGAAGACGAUCAGAUACCGUCGUAGUCUUAACCAUAAACUAUGCCGACUAGGGAUCGGAUGAUGUUAAUUUUUAUGACUCAUUC